rnacentral:tRNA from 1 species
GUGAGAUUGGUGUAAGGGUUAACACCGCGGCCUGUGAAGCCGCUGAUACGAGUUCGAGUCUCUUAUCUCACC